UAGGGAAUCUUCGGCAAUGGGGGCAACCCUGACCGAGCAACGCCGCGUGAGUGAAGAAGGUUUUCGGAUCGUAAAGCUCUGUUGUAAGUCAAGAACGAGUGUGAGAGUGGAAAGUUCACACUGUGACGGUAGCUUACCAGAAAGGGACGGCUAACUACGUGCCAGCAGCCGCGGUAAUACGUAGGUCCCGAGCGUUGUCCGGAUUUAUUGGGCGUAAAGCGAGCGCAGGCGGUUUGAUAAGUCUGAAGUUAAAGGCUGUGGCUCAACCAUAGUUCGCUUUGGAAACUGUCAAACUUGAGUGCAGAAGGGGAGAGUGGAAUUCCAUGUGUAGCGGUGAAAUGCGUAGAUAUAUGGAGGAACACCGGUGGCGAAAGCGGCUCUCUGGUCUGUAACUGACGCUGAGGCUCGAAAGCGUGGGGAGCGAACAGGAUUAGAUACCCUGGUAGUCCACGCCGUAACGAUGAGUGCUAGGUGUUGGAUCCUUUCCGGGAUUCAGUGCCGCAGCUAACGCAUUAAGCACUCCGCUUGGGGAGUACGACCGCAAGGUUG
rnacentral:rRNA from 1 species